GCAGUCGAGCGAAUCGAUGGGAGCUUGCUCCCUGAGAUUAGCGGCGGACGGGUGAGUAACACGUGGGCAACCUGCCUAUAAGACUGGGAUAACUUCGGGAAACCGGAGCUAAUACCGGAUACGUUCUUUUCUCGCAUGAGAAAAGAUGGAAAGACGGUUUACGCUGUCACUUAUAGAUGGGCCCGCGGCGCAUUAGCUAGUUGGUGAGGUAAUGGCUCACCAAGGCGACGAUGCGUAACCGACCUGAGAGGGUGAUCGGCCACACUGGGACUGAGACACGGCCCACACUCCUACGGGAGGCAGCAGUAGGGAAUCUUCCGCAAUGGACGAAAGUCUGACGGAGCAACGCCGCGUGAACGAAGAAGGCCUUCGGGUCGUAAAGUUCUGUUGUUAGGGAAGAACAAGUACCAAAGUAACUGCUGGUACCUUGACGGUACCUAACCAGAAAGCCACGGCUAACUACGUGCCAGCAGCCGCGGUAAUACGUAGGUGGCAAGCGUUGUCCGGAAUUAUUGGGCGUAAAGCGCGCGCAGGUGGUUCCUUAAGUCUGAUGUGAAAGCCCACGGCUCAACCGUGGAGGGUCAUUGGAAACUGGGGAACUUGAGUGCAAAAGAGGAGAGUGGAAUUCCAAGUGUAGCGGUGAAAUGCGUAUAGAUUUGGAGGAACACCAGUGGCGAAAGCGACUUUCUGGUCUGUAACUGACACUGACGCGCGAAAGCGUGGGGAGCAAACAGGAUUACAUACCCUGGUAGUCCACGCCGUAAACGAUGAGUGCUAAGUGUUAGAGGGUUUCCGCCCUUUAGUGCUGCAGCUAACGCAUUAAGCACUCCGCCUGGGGAGUACGGC
rnacentral:rRNA from 1 species